rnacentral:rRNA from 1 species
AGUUUGAUUAUGGCCAGAUUGAACGCUGCUGCGGGAUGCUUUACACAUGCAAGUCGAACGGCAGCACGGACUUCGGUCUGUAUGGUGGUGAACGGGUGAGUGGUCGUAUCGGAACGCCAUAGGGGGAUAACUACGCAGUGCGCUAAUACCGCAUACGCCCUUCGGGGGAAAGCGGGGACCUUGGCCUCGCACUAUUAGAGCGGCCGAUAUCGGAUUAGCUAGUUAGGUAACGGUCACCAAGGCGACGAUCCGUUGUUUGAGGACGACCCAGCCACACUGGACCGGAGACACGGCCCAGACUCCUACGGAGGCGCAGUGGGGAAUUUUUGGACAAUGGGGGAAACCCGAUCCAGCCAUCCUGCGAUGAAGGCCUUCGGGUUGUAAAGCACUUUUGGCAGGAAAGAAAACGGCACGAUAAUACCUGCGUGAAUCGAUUGUACCUGUAGAACAGCACCGGCUAACUACGUGCCAGCAGCCGCGGUAAUACGUAGUGCAAGCGUUAAUCGGAAUUACUGGGCGUAAAGUGCGCAGGCGGUCGGAAAGAAAGAUAGAAAUCCCAGAGCUUAACUUUGGAACUGCAUUUUUAACUACCGAGCUAGAGUGUGUCAGAGGGAGGUGGAAUUCGCGUAGCAGUGAAAUGCGUAGAUAUGCGGAGUAAAUUCCACCGAUGGCGAAGGCAGCCUCCUGGGAUAAACACUGACGCUCAUGCACGAAAGCGUGGGGAGCAAACAGGAUUAGAUACCCUGGUAGUCCACGCCCUCAACGAUGUUUAACUAGCUGUUGGGGCCUUCGGGGCCUUUGGUAGCGCAGCUAACGCGUGAAGUUGACCGCCUGGGGAGUACGGUCGCAAGAUUAAAACUCAAAGGAAUUGAUUUGGGACCCGCACAAGCGGUGGAUGAUGUGGAUUAACUGAUGCAACGCGAAAAACCUACCUACCCUUGACAUGUCUGGAAUCCCGAAGAGAUUUGGGAGUGCUCGCAAGAGAACCAACAGAAGUUGCAUGGCUGUCGUCAGUCGUUGAUGUUGGGUUAAGUCCCGCAACGAGCGCAACCCUUGUCAUUAGUUGCUACGAAAGGGCAAUUUCUUGAAUGAGAUUGCCGGUGACAAACCGGAGGGGGAUGACGCCGAACCUCGCGGGCCUUAUGGGUAGGGCUUCACAAUGCCAUAGCGAAGGGCUGGGACAGAGGGUCGCCAACCCGCGAGGGCGCCAAUCCCAGAAACCCGAUUUAGUCUUGAUCGGGCAGUUCUGUAACCGAUUGCGUGAAGUCGGAAUCGCUAGUAAUCGCGGAUCAGCAUGUCGCGGUGAAUACGUUCCGGCCUUGUACACACCGCCCGUCACACCAUGGGAGUGGGUUUGUACUAGAAGUAGUUAGCCUAACCGUAAGGAGGGCGAUUACCACGGUAGGAUUCAUGACUGGGGUGAAGUCGUAACAAGGUAG